AUUGAACGCUGGCGGCAGGCCUAACACAUGCAAGUCGAACGAGCGGCGGACGGGUGAGUAAUGUCUGGGAAACUGCCUGAUGGAUGGGGAUAACUACUGGAAACGGUAGCUAAUACCGCAUACCAUCAGAUGUGCCCAGGUGGGAUUAGCUCGUUGGUGGGGUAAUGGCUCACCUAGGCGACGAUCCCUAGCUGGUCUGAGAGGAUGACCGGCCACACUGGAACUGAGACACGGUCCAGACUCCUACGGGAGGCAGCAGUGGGGAAUAUUGCACAAUGGGCGCAAGCCUGAUGCAGCCAGACCGGGUGUGUGAAGAAGGCCUUCGGGUUGUAAAGCACUUUCAGCGAGGAGGCGUUACCCGCAGAGGAAGCACCGGCUAACUCCGUGCCAGCAGCCGCGGUAAUUC
rnacentral:rRNA from 1 species